UACGAAGGGGGCUAGCGUUGCUCGGAAUCACUGGGCGUAAAGCGCACGUAGGCGGCUUUUUAAGUCAGGGGUGAAAUCCUGGAGCUCAACUCCAGAACUGCCUUUGAUACUGAGAAGCUUGAGUUCGGGAGAGGUGAGUGGAACUGCGAGUGUAGAGGUGAAAUUCGUAGAUAUUCGGCAAGAACACCAGUGGCGAAGGCGGCUCACUGGCCCGAGUACUGACGCUGAGGUGCGAAAGCGUGGGGAGCAACAGG
rnacentral:rRNA from 1 species